rnacentral:rRNA from 1 species
UGGGGAAUUUUGCACAAUGGGGGAAACCCUGAUGCAGCGACGCCGCGUGAUUUAGAAGGCCUUCGGGUUGUAAAAAUCUUUUCUAUGGGAAGAAAAUGACAGUACCAUAGGAAUAAGGACCGGCUAAUUACGUGCCAGCAGCCGCGGUAAUACGUAAGGUCCGAGCGUUGUCCGGAAUCAUUGGGCGUAAAGGGUACGUAGGCGGGUAAGCAAGUUAGAAGUGAAAUCCUAUAGCUCAACUAUAGUAAGCUUUUAAAACUGCUCAUCUUGAGGUAUGGAAGGGGAAGUGGAAUUCCUAGUGUAGCGGUGAAAUGCGCCGAUAUUAGGGGGAAUACCGGUGGCGAAGGCGACUUUCUGGCCAUAACCUGACGCUGAGGUACGAAAGCGUGGGUAGCAAACAGG